UCAUCCUGGAGCCCCAGCACUAACUGCUCUUUCAGAACCGUAUCUGGGCCUGGAACUUGUUGAGGGUCUCGCAGCUCCACUUUGCUCAUUCUCUCCUGGAGGUCAUACGCAUAUGCCCAGAUAGUUUCACCGGGCCCCUGCUUUCGCUCAAAGAACUCCUUUAGUCGGGUUCCAAUAGUAUCUGGCUGUGAAGUGGGUA